CUACGGGGUGCUGCAGUGAGGAAUAUUGGACAAUGGUCGAGAGACUGAUCCAGCCAUGCCGCGUGCAGGAAGACGGCCCUAUGGGUUGUAAACUGCUUUUGUACGGGAAGAAUAAUGCCCACGUGUGGGCAGAUGACGGUACCGUACGAAUAAGGACCGGCUAACUCCGUGCCAGCAGCCGCGGUAAUACGGAGGGUCCGAGCGUUAUCCGGAAUCAUUGGGUUUAAAGGGUCCGUAGGCGGAACAGUAAGUCAGGGGUGAAAGUUUGCGGCUCAACCGUAAAAUUGCCUUUGAUACUGCUGGUCUUGAGUUACGAUGAAGUGGCCGGAAUAUGUGGUGUAGCGGUGAAAUGCAUAGAUAUCACAUAGAACACCGAUUGCGAAGGCAGGUCACUAAUCGUGGACUGACGCUGAUGGACGAAAGCGUGGGGAGCAAACGGGAUUAGAUACCCCCGUAGUC
rnacentral:rRNA from 1 species